rnacentral:rRNA from 1 species
AGUGAACGCUGGCGGUAGGCCUAACACAUGCAAGUCGAACGGCAGCACAGUAAGAGCUUGCUCUUACGGGUGGCGAGUGGCGGACGGGUGAGGAAUACAUCGGAAUCUACUUUUUCGUGGGGGAUAACGUAGGGAAACUUACGCUAAUACCGCAUACGACCUACGGGUGAAAGCAGGGGAUCUUCGGACCUUGCGCGAUUGAAUGAGCCGAUGUCGGAUUAGCUAGUUGGCGGGGUAAAGGCCCACCAAGGCGACGAUCCGUAGCUGGUCUGAGAGGAUGAUCAGCCACACUGGAACUGAGACACGGUCCAGACUCCUACGGGAGGCAGCAGUGGGGAAUAUUGGACAAUGGGCGCAAGCCUGAUCCAGCCAUACCGCGUGAGUGAAGAAGGCCUUCGGGUUGUAAAGCCCUUUUGUUGGGAAAGAAAAGAAGCAGGUUAAUACCCCGCUGUUCUGACGGUACCCAAAGAAUAAGCACCGGCUAACUUCGUG